AUUGAACGCUGGCGGCAGGCCUAAUACAUGCAAGUCGAGCGGAGCGGCGGACGGGUGAUUAAUGCCGAGGGAGUUGCCUGGUAGUGGGGGAUAACUCACGGAGACGGGAGAUAAGAACGCAUAAUAUCAGAUGAGUUUAGGUCGGAGUAGAUGGUUGGUGGGGUAAAGGCUUAGCUAGUGGACGAGCUGUAACUGGUCUGAGAGGAUGAUCAGUCACACUGGAACUGAGACACGGUCCAGACUCCUACGGGAGGCAGCAGUGGGGAAUAUUGGACAAUGGGCGAAAGCCUGAUCCAGCCAUGCCGCGUGUGUGAAGAAGGUCUUCGGAUUGUAAAGCACUUUAAGUUGGGAGGUGUUACCAACAGAAUAAGCACCGGCUAACUUCGUGCCAGCAGCCGCGGUAAUUC
rnacentral:rRNA from 1 species